rnacentral:rRNA from 1 species
UACGUAGGGGGCAAGCGUUAUCCGGAUUUACUGGGUGUAAAGGGAGCGUAAACGGCAGGGCAAGUCUGGAGUGAAAGGCAGGGGCCCAACCCCUGGACUGCUCUGGAAACUGUCCGGCUGGAGUGCAGGAGAGGUAAGUGGAAUUCCUAGUGUAGCGGUGAAAUGCGUAGAUAUUAGGAGGAACACCAGUGGCGAAGGCGGCUUACUGGACUGUAACUGACGUUGAGGCUCGAAAGCGUGGGGAGCAAACAGG